UGCAGCUGUUAACAGGCUCACAGCCUCUGCCUACUUUUUUAAAAAAGUGGUAGUUCUCAUUGUGAGAGAAAAGAUGGCAUUUGUUUUGAUGCAGGUAACAGCCAAACACCCACAGCACUGCCGCCUGUCCACACUGAAGUGACUGUGCGAACACCGGAGGCUAUCAGUACUGAACCAGCAACUACUGUAGCGGCCGAAACAACCAUUGCUGGUAACAGCCAAACACCCACAGCGCUGCCGCCUGUCCACACUGAAGUGACUGUGCGAACACCGGGGUUCAUUACUGUGCCCGUGAAACCUGGGUGGUGUCCUCCCCCAGACGUUUGGCACCAUCGCAAUAAGAAACCAUCUCAUCACAAGCAUCAACGUAAAGGCAAGAAAUUAAAGAAAAAAUCCUCUUCAGAGGAGUCUGGCUCCUCAGAACGAAGGUUCCGUCGUUCCUCUUCAGAGGAGUCUGGCUCCUCAGAAUGAAGGUUCCGUCGUUCCUCUUCAGAGAAGUCUGGCUCCUCAGGCUCAUGGGAAAAGAGGCCUCUGAAUCCCUGUGAGACUCCAAAAUGUGAAGGAGAUGGAGAUUGCCAAGGUGAUCUGAAGUGCUGCCAAGUUGCCCGCUGUGGGAUGAGGUGUGCAAGACCCUUCCGCAGGCCACCAGGAGAGCUAGGUGCCCCCGUGGAUAAUGUGUCUUAAAAUCUGAUGCCUCUUCCAAAUCCCCAUCUUUGAACACCAAGUUACAGCAGGAACUAAACACAAGCGGCCUAUCUGGAUACAUUCUGCACUCUUUCAGGCUUUAUGGACUUCCUUUAAAAGCAAAAAGAUUCAAAAUAUGAAUAAAAUGCAU